UUUUAAAUAAAAGGACACAUUCUACUCAUGUAAAAACACGCUGACUCCCGAAUUGUCCGCGAGCCGAAUGGAGAAGGCGACUGGGCCGCAUCCGGCCCCCAGGCUUUAGUUUGCCUAUCCCUGGCCUGGGGAGCCACAUUCUGGCUGAAGGAGGCCAGGAUUGGCAACCAAGGCCUGGGGUGUCCCUCUUCCCCUGCAGUAGGAAUUUGGAAUCCAGGAGAAAACUCUUGGAAUAGCCUUGCCAGGUGCUCAGGGAUGGACUCACCUGUCCCCAUGUCCUUCUCUUUGCAGAUGUGCUGCGGUUGCACAUCCCUCCCCCAGAGCUGCUGGAGGAAGAUCAGCUGUACCUGCCGGAGGUGAUUCAGAACUGCCAGGCAGCUCAGCUCAGGGGGCUCCGAACCCUGAAGUGCUCCAAGCAGGAGACGGCCAAAGCCAUCCUGGGGUCACUUAAAGAAGAAAACCUUGCAGCUGCAGAUUGCUGUCACCUGUAACUAAAAUCAAUGCUGCGCCUGUCUAUAUACAUUGUAAGACUUGUUGUUCACUGCAGAAACCACUAUGUUAUAAGUUCCAUUAUCUGGAUACUUCAUAUAUGGUAUGUACUUUUAUAGCACAAUUGUUUUUAUAAUUUUAAUUUGUUAAAUGAUCUAGUGGUCGAUCCACAACUCUGGUCACUGCUCCCUGAGAAAAGCUCAAGAACUCUGGGCAAAGACAAUGGGUAGAUCACUGGCAGGAUUUUUAUUACUGGGAGUAGAUCUCAGUCUCUUGGAAGUUCUGGCAUUGUGGCUAGUUCAAGGUACUAGCACAACUUUAAUUGCCACUCAUCUUUUAUUGAUAUUAACUCAUUUUCCAGUAUUUUGCUAUUAACAUCCUAGCUGCUGUUGUCGUGUAAAGAAACACUCUUUUAUUUUCAUUUGGUAUGCUUAUUGUAAGAAUAUAAAAUAGGAAAGCUUUGGUUUUCUUUAAAAUAAAUAGCAUUUAUUUUAUUUUAUUUUCCCUUUGGGGACAUGUCCACCACAUGUGGAAUAAGGUUCCCUCAUUUUGUCUGCAUCGCCAACAUUUAUUGCUGAUAUUUAUUUAUUUUGACUGAUUUGGAUGGGGUCAGGUACCAUCUAAAAAUCAGAUAGCAUGUGGUGAAUUUUAAGUCUUUUUUCAUAAUUUCCCCCAUUUUUCAUCUUCAUUGGAUAGCCACAAUCGUGUGCCCAUUUCACCAUCACCUCCGUCACCUCCUAGUCCUUAAGGUUCCAGUCCAGUAACAAUCUGUGUGGUUUUGAUAUCUUUGUAUUAUUUAAUAAUAUUAUUUUAAAAAAACAACAACCCACUGUUGUU